CUUAAAGGAAUUGACGGGACCCGCACAAGCAGCGGAGCGUGUGGUUUAAUUCGUUGCUACACGAAGAACCUUACCUGGGUUUGACAUAUAGGUUGUAGGGAACUGAAAAGGGACCGACCCUUCGGGGAGCCUAUACAGGUGUUGCAUGGCUGUCGUCAGCUCGUGUCGUGAGAUGUUCGGUUAAGUCCGCUAACGAGCGCAACCCUCGUCGUAUGUUAUAUGUGUCAUACGAGACUGCCGGUAAAAAGCCGGAGGAAGGUGAGGAUGAUGUCAAGUCAGCAUGACCUUUAUAUCCAGGGCUACACACACGCUACAAUGGUCUGUACAAUGGGUAGCCAAGCCGCGAGGCGGAGCCAAUCCUGAAAGCAGGCCUCAGUUCAGAUUGCAGUCUGCAACUCGACUGCAUGAAGCCGGAGUUGCUAGUAACCGCAGGUCAGCAAUACUGCGGUGAAUACGUUCCCGGGUCUU
rnacentral:rRNA from 1 species